UACGGGGGGAGCAAGCGUUGUUCGGAUUUACUGGGCGUAAAGGGCGCGUAGGCGGCCUCUGCAAGUCGACUGUGAAAUCUCCGGGCUUAACCCGGAAAGGUCAGCCGAUACUGCAGGGCUAGAGUGCAGAAGGGGCAACUGGAAUUCUCGGUGUAGCGGUGAAAUGCGUAGAUAUCAGGAGGAACACCGGUGGCGAAGGCGGUUCUCUGGGCAUUACCUGACGCUGAGGAGCGAAAGUGUGGGGAGCGAACAGG
rnacentral:rRNA from 1 species